CCUACGGGAGGCAGCAGUGAGGAAUAUUGGUCAAUGGGCGCUAGCCUGAACCAGCCAAGUAGCGUGAAGGAUGACUGCCCUAUGGGUUGUAAACUUCUUUUAUAUGGGAAUAAAGUGCAGUAUGUAUACUGCUUUGCAUGUACCUUAUGAAUAAGGAUCGGCUAACUCCGUGCCAGCAGCCGCGGUAAUACGGAGGAGCCGAGCGUUAUCCGGAUUUAUUGGGUUUAAAGGGAGCGUAGGCGGGUUGUUAAGUCAGUUGUGAAAGUUUUCGGCUCAACCGUAAAAUUGCAGUUGAUACUGGCAGCCUUGAGUACAGUAGAGGUAGGCGGAAUUCGUGGUGUAGCGGUGAAAUGCUUAGAUAUCACGAAGAACUCCGAUUGCGAAGGCAGCCUGCUGGACUGUAACUGACGCUGAUGCUCGAAAGUGUGGGUAUCAAACAGGAUUAGAUACCCGGGUAGUC
rnacentral:rRNA from 1 species